AUGCAAGUCGAGCGGACUUGAAGGAGUGCUUGCACUCCUGAUGGUUAGCGGCGGACGGGUGAGUAACACGUAGGUAACCUGCCCAUAAGACUGGGAUAACCCACGGAAACGUGAGCUAAUACCAGAUAGGCAUUUUCCUCGCAUGAGGGAGAUGAGAAAGGCGGAGCAAUCUGCCACUUAUGGAUGGACCUGCGGCGCAUUAGCUAGUUGGUAAGGUAACGGCUUACCAAGGCGACGAUGCGUAGCCGACCUGAGAGGGUGAUCGGCCACACUGGGACUGAGACACGGCCCAGACUCCUACGGGAGGCAGCAGUAGGGAAUCUUCCGCAAUGGACGAAAGUCUGACGGAGCAACGCCGCGUGAGUGAUGAAGGUUUUCGGAUCGUAAAGCUCUGUUGCCAGGGAAGAACGCCUAGGAGAGUAACUGCUCCUAGGGUGACGGUACCUGAGA
rnacentral:rRNA from 1 species